rnacentral:rRNA from 1 species
UACGAAGGGGGCUAGCGUUGCUCGGAAUCACUGGGCGUAAAGCGCACGUAGGCGGAUCUUUAAGUCAGAGGUGAAAUCCCAAGGCUCAACCUUGGAACUGCCUUUGAUACUGGGGAUCUCGAGUCCGGAAGAGGUUGGUGGAACUGCGAGUUUAGAGGUGAAAUUCGUAGAUAUUCGCAAGAACACCAGUGGCGAAGGCGGCCAACUGGUCCGGUACUGACGCUGAGGUGCGAAAGCGUGGGGAGCAAACAGG